AAGAUACAAGGAAAUGAUCCCUAUUCUUAUGCUCUGUUAUGGCAAUCAAUCAAUCAAUCAUACAAUCAAAUAAAAUUAACUCAGUCUGAUGCCUGUUUCACACUGCAAGCGUGAGCGGCACGUGAGCAUAACUAUAGCAUCACUGCAGCUGCAGAUGUGUCAGAGUAUUCACACUGGAAGCGUUUGUACAGCGUCACAGCAGUGGCUCCAAAUAAGCUCCAUUGAUCCUGUUCUCCAAUGAUCCCAUUCUCAUCCCCCCUGGAUACCUGCUGAGGACGAACCAACUAUUACCCAGAGCUAAGAACCCAAGAACUUUCUAUCUUCUCAUACUCCCCUGCCAUCUUGCUCUCACCUCAUUGUCAAUAAAUCCUCUUGUUUGCAUCCA
ensembl:lncRNA